rnacentral:rRNA from 1 species
AUUGCCUCAGUAACGGCGAGUGAAGCGGCAGCAGCUCAAAUUUGAAAUCUGGCCCGUUCCGGGUCCGAGUUGUAAUUUGUAGAAGAUGCUUCGGGUGUGGCGCCGGUCUAAGUUCCUUGGAACAGGACGUCACAGAGGGUGAGAAUCCCGUACGUGACCGCGCGCCUACGCCCGUGUGAAGCUCUUUCGACGAGUCGAGUUGUUUGGGAAUGCAGCUCCAAAUGGGUGGUAUAUUUCAUCUAAAGCUAAAUAUAGGCCAGAGACCGAUAGCGCACAAGUAGAGUGAUCGAAAGAUGAAAAGCACUUUGGAAAGAGAGUUAAACAGUACGUGAAAUUGUUGAAAGGGAAGCGCUUGCACCCAGACUUGCGCGCGGUCGAUCAUCCGGGGUUCUCUCCGGUGCACUCGACCGUGCUCAGGCCAGCAUCGGUUUCGGUGGUCGGAUAAAGGCCUUGGGAAUGUGACUCCCCCCGAGGAGUGUUAUAGCCCAGGGUGCCAUGCGACCCACCGGACCGAGGACCGCGCUUCGGCUAGGAUGCUGGCAUAAUGGGUGCAAGCGACCCGUCUUGAAACACGGACCAAGGAGUCUAAUAUCUAUGCGAGUAUUUGGGUGCCAAACCCAUCUGCGUAAUGAAAGUGAACGGAGGUGAGACCCCGUCAGGGUGCAUCACCGACCGAUCCUGAUGUCUUCGGAUGGAUUUGAGUAAGAGCAUAGCUAUUGGGACCCGAAAGAGAGUGAACUUUACGUGAAUAGGGUGAAGUCAGAGGAAACUCUGAUGGAGGCUCGCAGCGGUUCUGACGUGCAAAUCGAUCGUCAAAUUUGCGUAAAGGGGCGAAAGACUAAUCGAACUUUCUAGUAGCUGGUUCCUGCCGAAGUUUCCCUCAGGAUAGCAGUGUUGUAUUCAGUUUUAUGAGGUAAAGCGAAUGAUUAGAGGCCUUGGGGUAGAAACUACCUUAACCUAUUCUCAAACUUUAAAUAUGUAAGAAGUCCUUGUUGCUUAAUUGAACGUGGACAUUCGAAUGUACCAACACUAGUGGGCCAUUUUUGGUAAGCAGAACUGGCGAUGCGGGAUGAACCGAACGUGGAGUUAAGGUGCCGGAAUGUACGCUCAUCAGACACCACAAAAGGCGUUAGUUCAUCUAGACAGCAGGUUAGUCCACUUUUCCUUUUCAGCUUCUACACUACGUCUACCUUUCACGGAUUUAUACUAACAUAAUUUACAGGACGGUGGCCAUGGAAGUCGGAAUCCGCUAAGGAGUGUGUAACAACUCACCUGCCGAAUGAACUAGCCCUGAAAAUGGAUGGCGCUUAAGCGUACUACCCAUACUCCACCGCCAGGAUAGAAACGAUGCCCUGGCGAGUAGGCAGGCGUGGGGGUCUGUGACGAAGCCUUGGAGGU